rnacentral:lncRNA from 1 species
GUGUGUCCCAGUGCUGACGGAGGAGUGGGUGUUUAUUGGUGCUGGUGGCAGACACCUGUGUGCAUCACCAAUCGAGGAAAGCACAUGGACACAGAGUUACAUCUUUAUAAAACUGUGAUUUUGAGAUGCCUGGAAAGAGAAGUGAUGCUUCGCCAUCCCCCCUCCUACUUGGACAUAAUUCAUCUCAUCUGAAGCACUGAAGUCCAGCCAGACAUUGUUCCCAAACAAGGUAUCAAGGCACUGGUUGCAUUUCAACCAUUUUCAGUCUGGUUGCGAACAACCCUGCUUGCAGAAAAGAGGGCACCAUCCUGAGCUCAAAGGGAAUGCACAGGCAUAUUCAUCUCCUUCUCCUGCUUACCUAGAGGGGACACCCGGGGAGCUUCAUCCCAGAGGUGUGCAGCUGGAUUCGUCCCAGACCUCACACAUGAAUGAAGUUCAACCAGCUUUACCAUGCCUUCUACUGUGGAAUAGCAAGGAC